rnacentral:rRNA from 1 species
ACGUAUGGUGCAAGCGUUAUCCGGAUUUACUGGGUGUAAAGGGAGCGUAGGCGGUUUUAUAAGUCUGAUGUGAAAGCCCGGGGCUCAACCCCGGGACUGCAUUGGAAACUGUAGAACUAGAGUGUCGGAGGGGUAAGUGGAAUUCCUAGUGUAGCGGUGAAAUGCGUAGAUAUUAGGAGGAACACCAGUGGCGAAGGCGGCUUACUGGACGAUUACUGACGCUGAGGCUCGAAAGCGUGGGGAGCAAACAG